GACGAACGCUGGCGGCGUGCUUAACACAUGCAAGUCGAACGGUAAGGCCCUUCGGGGUACACGAGUGGCGAACGGGUGAGUAACACGUGGGUGAUCUGCCCUGCACUUCGGGAUAAGCCUGGGAAACUGGGUCUAAUACCGGAUAGGACCACUGCCUGCAUGGGUGGUGGUGGAAAGCUUUUGCGGUGUGGGAUGGGCCCGCGGCCUAUCAGCUUGUUGGUGGGGUGAUGGCCUACCAAGGCGACGACGGGUAGCCGGCCUGAGAGGGUGACCGGCCACACUGGGACUGAGAUACGGCCCGGACUCCUACGGGCGGCAGCAGUGGGGAAUAUUGCACAAUGGGCGCAAGCCUGAUGCAGCGACGCCGCGUGAGGGAUGACGGCCUUCGGGUCGUAAACCUCUUUCAGCACCGACGAAGCGCAAGUGACGGUAGGUGCAGAAGAAGGACCGGCCAACUACGUGCCAGCCGCCGCCGUAAUAC
rnacentral:rRNA from 1 species